GCCCCCAUCGUCUAGAGGUUCAGGACAUCUCUCUUUCAAGGAGGCAACAGGGAUUCGACUUCCCCUGAGGGUA
rfam:Glycine max cultivar Williams 82 chromosome 6, whole genome shotgun sequence.